rnacentral:miRNA from 1 species
GUGAUGGAGAGCAAUACC